GACGAACGCUGGCGGCGUGCUUAACACAUGCAAGUCGAACGGAAAGGCCCUGCUUUUGUGGUGUGCUCGAGUGGCGAGCGGGUGAGUAACACGGGAGUAACCUGCCCUUGACUUUGGGAUAACUUCAGAAAACUGGGGCUAAUACCGGAUAAGAGCGCCGGCGGCAUGGUGGUGGUUGGAAAGGUUCGGCGGUUGGGGAUGGACUCGCGGCUUAUCAGCGUGUUGGGGGGGUAGUGGCUUACCAAGGCUUUGACGGGUAGCCGGCCUGAGAGGGUGACCGGCCACAUUGGGACUGAGAUACGGCCCAGACUCCUACGGGAGGCAGCAGUGGGGAAUAUUGCACAAUGGGCGGAAGCCUGAUGCAGCAACGCCGCGUGCGGGAUGACGGCCUUCGGGUUGUAAACCGCUUUCGCCUGUGACGAAGCGUGAGUGACGGUAAUGGGUAAAGAAGCACCGGCUAACUACGUG
rnacentral:rRNA from 1 species